rnacentral:rRNA from 1 species
UCGGGGCCCCCCCGCGUCGAUUUCUUUACCCUGUGGGAAACCGUGAUAAGGGGACACCGAGUGCCAGCAUCAUAUGCUGGCUGUCCAGGUGUGUAAAAUACACCUGUUAGCAAGGGCCGGGCAAGACCGGCGCCAGCCGCCGCGGUAACACCGGCGGCCCGAGUGGUGAUCGUGAUUAUUGGGUCUAAAGGGUCCGUAGCCGGUUUGGUCAGUCCUCCGGGAAAUCUGAUAGCUCAACUAUGAGGCUUUCGGGGGAUACUGCCAGACUUGGAACCGGGAGAGGUAAGAGGUACUACGGGGGUAGGAGUGAAAUCUUGUAAUCCCUGUGGGACCACCUGUGGCGAAGGCGUCUUACCAGAACGGGUUCGACGGUGAGGGACGAAAGCUGGGGGCACGAACCGGAUUAGAUACCCGGGUAGUCCCAGCCGUAAACGAUGCUCGCUAGGUGUCAGACAUGGCGCGACCGUGUCUGGUGCCGCAGGGAAGCCGUGAAGCGAGCCACCUGGGAAGUACGGCCGCAAGGCUGAAACUUAAAGGAAUUGGCGGGGGAGCAC